UACGUAGGGGCAAGCGUUGUCCGGAUUUAUUGGGCGUAAAGAGCGUGUAGGCGGUUUGGUAGGUCCGCUGUGAAACUCGAGCUCAACCUCGAGACGCCGGUGGAAACCAUCAGACUAGAGUCCGGAAGAGGAGAGUGGAAUUCCUGGUGUAGCGGUGAAAUGCGUAGAUAUCAGGAAGAACACCCGUGGCUAAGGCGGCUCUCUAGUACGGUACUGACGCUGAGACGCGAAAGCGUGGGAGCGAACAGG
rnacentral:rRNA from 1 species